CUUACCAUGUGCUAAGUAUCCACUGGGCUCCGGGCGAGACUGAUGGGUUAAUACACGGGAGGGGGGGGGGGGAGGACAUAAGGGACCAGGACCUCAGUGAGGCCCCAGAAAGCUCACAGGAGGGGCCUCCGAUCCUGCCUGGGGAGGGAGGGGUUAGAGAAGGAUUCCUGGAAGAAGGAGGACCUAAGCUGAGUGUUUCUAUUUUUAAUUUUUAUUGGUUUCCUAAAACAUAAAGGU
rfam:Sus scrofa isolate TJ Tabasco breed Duroc chromosome 1, whole genome shotgun sequence.